rnacentral:lncRNA from 13 species
AUGCGCAUGACGCUGUUUCUCAGAAGCGUCCCAUAUCGAUAAUACGAGUAUAUGUUUAUUUCAGCGAUCUUGUUAAAUUCUAUAACAUUGAUCGUAAACAUUGAUCGUAACAUUGAUCGUAAUAUAACAUUUAUAGUAAAAAAUGGUGUAUUAUCUGCAGCAUGAUACCAUGAUCCAUUGAAAGAAGCUUUGUAUAAAGAAAGAAAAGGAGGUUAUGUCUUAAAAAAAAGGUAAAUCUACUUAACAUUACAUAAUCAAAAAAUGUAAAAAGAUUUGAUAUUUUGGAAGUCCAUUGGUGACGGCGAUUUCCUUAGACGAUGUUAAACCCGCUAAAAUAGAACGUCUUAUGCUAGAAAGUAUAUAGACAAUGUGACAUAACCUCAAAAGUGCAAUCAAAAUUUUCAAACGUCAAAGUAAUUCACAAUAUAACGUAACAUUUUGCAUUCCGGGUGCAUUCGAAAUUCUUCACUACAUUUGAAGAUACUCUGCAGAAAUUUUAUCUAAAAUUAGCGAAAAGAUGGCAAGCAUAAAUACAGGAUUUGAGCAAAAAUUAAUUAAUUCAGAAGUUGAUGUGUUUGCUGAAGCUGAAGCAUCUUUAAAUAUAAAAAUUCCUAUCACUCUAAAGAAUUUAUU